AAGCAUCUAAUUACAACAUAUAUAAAUACAUAUUAAAGAAGAGGUUGGCAAAGACAACAUAUUAUUUGCUAUAUCUGGGAAAAAAAAUAGACAACAUACAAAAUUAAUGAGACACUGUUCACCGGAGGUGAAAAGUCGAAGAAAUGGUAACUACCGGCUUUGCUUCAACCCUUUUUGUUGGAGCAACGUCAGAUACACAAAGCCCCAGCCAAAUUUGAUCGUUAAUAGUACGACGAAAGGUGAGGAAGGACAAUGAAGAGAGAAAAAUAAUGUGAAGAUGGGGGCAGUAUCAAUGGAGGGGGAGAUUGGAACUUCGCCCGCCGGUGAUCAACUCUGAUGAGGCAUGAUAGGAGAGAGAAAAGAGGAAAAAAAAGGAGAAAGGGAGGCAACAACGGUGAGACCCGCCGAAGCUCAGGCGGUGGCAGUGGUGUGCUUGUUGGAUAGUGCUUGGUAAAACAAAAGAGAAAAUGAGAGGUUGGUAGUAGGGAAAAUGGGGUUUGUCGUCGUCAAUGGUUGUUUGCCUGCGAUAUGGCCAUCGAAGAAGAGGAGAAAACGAGGUUCAAAGUUUUAAAUAGUGUUUGGUAUAUUUGUGUGGUGUG
rnacentral:lncRNA from 1 species